rnacentral:rRNA from 1 species
UAAGACGAACCGUCCAAACGUUAUUCGGAAUUACUGGGCUUAAAGGGUGCGUAGGCGGUGCUACAAGUCGGGUGUGAAAUCCCUCAGCUUAACUGAGGAACUGCGCCCGAAACUGUAGUGCUGGAGUGAGGCAGGGGUGAGCGGAACUGAUGGUGGAGCGGUGAAAUGUGUUGAUAUCAUCAGGAACACCGGUGGCGAAGGCGGCUCACUGGGCCUUUACUGACGCUGAGGCACGAAAGCUAGGGGAGCAAACGGGAUUAGAUACCCCGGUAGUCCUAGCUGUAAACGAUGAGCACUUGAUCGGAGACUCCUCCAUAGGUUUCCGGUCGUAGCGAAAGUGUUAAGUGCUCCGCCUGGGGAGUAUGGUCGCAAGGCUG